rnacentral:lncRNA from 1 species
GGGCUGUCUGCCAGUAGAGGGUAUGGGAAAAGUAAUAGGAGAUUUUACAUUGGGAACCCUAGAAUGUUUUUUAUUUUGUUUUUGCCCUUCUACAAAGGUUGGACGGAGGGGACCGAUUAGGCAAACCGAAAACGUGAACAGGAGCAGACGGAAGAAAAUAUAGGGCAGACCGAAAUUUUGGCUCUUUAUAAAUAGGUAUAGGUAUAGAUUUCUAGACCAAAGAGCUCAUCUGUCAGGCUAUAAUUUCUUUUGGGUCAAUUUGGAAGAAAUUUAAAUAUAACAGAAAGGGAUACAAAUUACAGAAUACAGAUUUAUACAGCGCUCAGGUUUUACAAAGCUGCUCUGGUGUUUCUGGCAGACAAAGGGGCUGAACACUCGAUUGAGAAGGUAAAUAAAAAAACCAAAUGUUUUUAUACCUGCAACACUUGAUUGUCAUGACCGUUGGAUUCAAAUCAGAUGAACAAAAACUAUCUCAAUAAUACCAAAAUAUUAAAUAAAAUAAUGAAAAAUUAGCUAGAUUAUUUCUAUGGAAGUCAAAUGAGAAAAUUUUAAAGAGGAACCAAAUAAAUAAAAACAUACAAAAACUAAAAAAACCAAAAACAAGUUCAGAUUACCACUAGUACACAAGAGCUCAAAGCCGGCGGUGGCAAAAUCUUUCCACAGGUGGUUUUAGUAACCAUACGUCAGUGUUGUAAAAACAGUACGGCAGGAGAUAACAACCGCCUAUAAAAAGGCAUUAGCACAGGUGGUUCACCUAACUUCACCGUCUGUGUAAAUCCUCCAUUUACACAGGCGGUUCGGUUAAGUCAACCGCCUAUGGUAAUGCCUUUCCAUAGACGGUUGACUUAACUGAACCGCUUGUGAUUUACACAGGCGGUGAAGUUAGGUGAACGGACUGUGGUAAGGCCUUUUUACAGGCGGUUUCUUAAGCAAAACGCCUUUGCUAUUCUUUCUAUAAAUACUCCCAGCCUCCCUUCUUCCUCCUCGGGCAGAAUUGUUGAUAGCAGCCAGCUUCCAUUGGAGGCCAUCUUGGAGGUCUAGAUUUUCCAAAAUACAAGGGAGAGAUUUUGAUCUUCAUUUCAUGGAAGGAGGGGGCUAAGAAAGGUUAGUUCAUGCCUCUAAUGCCUCUUUUUGUGCCCUCUUGCUCAAUUGAGCUACUUUUUGGAUCUAGGGUUUUACCAUGAGAGGGAGAGAGUAGACUAGCUAUGUAUGUACUAUAUUUGCUCAAAUGAGGUUGCUUAAGAUGGUUAGAUGAUGUCUCUCCUCUCCCCAUUUUCAUGUUUCCUUCUCUAACUAGUGAAUCCAAGAAAUAUAUAUAUAGUGGUUUCCAUGAAUGUUGUUUCCAUGCUUGGGAAGAGAGAGAAAAAUAGCUUUUCUUUUUAGUUUUUAAAAUUAUAUUGUUUAGGAUGUUAUUUUUUCUAUAAAUUUGAUUUAAUUAUGCAGUAUGCAUUUUUCAUGUAUGAGGUUGCUUAAGAUGAUGCCUCUCCUCUCACCAUUUCCAUGUUUGCUUCUCAAAUUUAUUUUAGUGAAAUAAAGAUAUAUAUUUAGUUUCCAUCAACGGUGCUUUUCUACCUUGUCAAUUUGAUUUUGUUGUUAGGUGUUCCUUUUUGAAUUAUUACUUAGGGUUUUGUCUUUAUUUUUUAUACUUGUUUUAUUUUUUUUCAUUUUGAUUUAAUUGUUAAGUGUUCUUUAUUUUUGAUAACAAAUAUUCCUAGACAAUAUUUCAUACUUGUUUUACAUUGAGAUCAAUUUUUUUACUAAUUUUUCAACAGCUCAUGAUGGAGAGGUCCUUAUGGAUGUAUAACUUAUCAAGAUUAGAUCCAUCAUAUAUACUCGAGGUGCAUAGGUUUGUUGAUGCCGUUAAGAACCAUGCUUCAAGUAGCGGAAGCUUCAUAGUUUGAAAUUACAACACACACGAUAAGUCUGAUACAGUGCUAUAGUUUGGUCAUCCCUACAAAAGCAAAGGAAGAGACAGAGUGACCAUCGCCCUUGGUCUAGUCAUCACCCAUAGCUGGGUACAGACAGAGGAUGCAAUAACCAUAGUACAUUUGAACAUCUGCAAAACAACAUGGGAAUAGAACCCUGAGUACGAGAAGGUACUCAGCUAGACUUACCCGUCAUAAACUUAAAAUAAAGACUCAUCAAGGGUCAUGAAGGCUAUAUAGUGGGGUAGCUGACGACCAUUUUGCAAAACCGCAGUAUUUCGCUAACAUAACCUACAUAAGUCUUUCUUCUUUUAAUUGGCUCAAGUUGAAAGUAUCAUUACCUAUCGUUUAGGUUUGCACCUGCACUAUUACAAGCAAGUAUGAGACUAUGAUAGUACCUCAUCAUAGCAUUUCUUAAAACUAUUCAUCGUUAUAACCCAAGUGUUCCAUAGUCCUUACUACGAG